GAAAAUUGGUCUAAUACCGUAUGAGGUCAUACGAUGGCAUCAGAAUAUGACGAAAGGUUUGGCGGUGAAGGAUGGGGAUGCGUCUGAUUAGCUUGUUGGUGAGGUAACGGCUCACCAAGGCGACGAUCAGUAGGGGUUCUGAGAGGAAGGUCCCCCACAUUGGAACUGAGACACGGUCCAAACUCCUACGGGAGGCAGCAGUGAGGAAUAUUGGUCAAUGGGCGAGAGCCUGAACCAGCCAAGUAGCGUGCAGGACGACGGCCCUAUGGGUUGUAAACUGCUUUUAUAUGGGGAUAAAGUGAGUUACGUGUAGCUUAUUGCAGGUACCAUAUGAAUAAGGACCGGCUAAUUCCGUGCCAGCAGCCGCGGUAAUACGGAAGGUCCAGGCGUUAUCCGGAUUUAUUGGGUUUAAAGGGAGCGUAGGCCGCCCCUUAAGCGUGUUGUGAAAUGCCGCGGCUCAACCGUGGCACUGCAGCGCGAACUGGGGGGCUUGAGUGCACGCAACGCAGGCGGAAUUCGUGGUGUAGCGGUGAAAUGCUUAGAUAUCACGAAGAACUCCGAUUGCGAAGGCAGCUUGCGGGAGUGCGACUGACGCUGAAGCUCGAAGGUGCGGGUAUCGAACAGGAUUAGAUACCCUGGUAGUCCGCACAG
rnacentral:rRNA from 1 species